AUGGCUAACCGCUGGAACGUGGUAGGGAAGAGCGUGCCCGAGAUCACAUCGUCGACAUCAACCACGGACAGCAGCGUCACCGCGACUCUCAGCUUCGAGGUGACAGCUGAGUACCCCGAUCUGGAAGCCAUGGGCAUCGGCGAGUACGCUAGAUCGGGCGUCUUCACGUUUGGUGGCUACGAUUGGGGCAUCGAGUUCUACCCGCACGGAUGGGGCGACGGCAAGGCCACGGCCUACCUAUGCUUUCUCAGCCUAGCCGGGCAUGCGCACAGCAAGUACACGCUGAGCGUGCUAGGGGACGAGGGAGAGGAACCGUUAGCCAGCUUCGACGGAGUCUUCUCUCCGAUGGGAUCCUGCUGCCCGGGCAAAGAGCUGAAGCCGCUGACGGAGCUCGUGGACGGCGGCUUCAUGUUACAGUACGUCCUCACCAUCUUCAAGAACGUGUCCCCGCCGAUGGAGCUGCCCGGCGACCUCGAGCGCAUGCUCAGGAAGCAAAGAGGCACCGACAUCACGUUCCGAGUGCGCGGCCGAGAGUUCUCCGCGCACAGCUUUCUCCUGGCCGAGCGGUCACCCGUCUUCGAAGCUCAGCUCUUCGGCCCGAUGGCGGAGAAGGACAUGGCGCGCAUCGAGGUUGUUGACAUGGAGCCGACCAUCUUCCAGAUGCUCCUUCACUACAUUUAUACGGACAUACUGCCGUCAUGCAACGACCAAGGCGGCCGCACCACUGCGGGGAUGCAACAAUUGCUUGUCGCGGCGGACAGGUACGGGCUGGACAGGCUGAAGCUCAUGUGCGAGGAAGAGCUGUGCGGGAGGAUCGAAGAAGAGACCAUCAUGUCCACGUACGCGUUGGCAAAUCGGCACCACUGUAAUCGGCUCAAGCAUGCGUGCCUCCUGUUUCUUAUGCAGUCGCCGGAUGUCCUAGGCACCGUCCUUGAGAAUAGCGGGUUCAACGAGCUCUGCAUGACAAAUUACCUACCAUCGCCUCUGAAGGGGGAUCAUGUACCGGGGACAAAUAAGAGGCGUAGCCAUCCAGAGGAAGAAACUGAUCCAGUCGCUUUGCACCGGAGCCCAUUUUACGAUGAAGGGUAG
rnacentral:rRNA from 1 species